AGAAACGUAUUCAAGGGAUUCAGGAUCUGGGUCAUCGUCAUCUUGUUGGGUAACAGUGGAAAUGGAACCUUCUUCCUCAUUAGUCAAUUGGGUGUCUUCUUUACUCACAAACAGAGGCCCCAAUGAAGUGCUUCUGCCUCUGCCUCUGCUACUAAAUCCAAGAAUUUGUACAUUGGAGGAAGAUAAAAGAGGUUUAUGAGUAAAGGGUGAGAUGGGAAUUGAGCAAAUUUUGCAGUAUGAAGAAGAUAACAAGGGGAGUGAUGAUAAGGAUGAAGAGAGCAGUGGGAAUGGCAGCUGAAGCGCCAUUGAAGAUAGUGGAAUAUUUAGUUGAGAUAGAGCAUUUGCUUUGCUUGCGGUUAAAACUUGGUAACAGAAUGGAUAACCUUAAAAAUGAUUAUGCCUUGUGUUUUUUUAAAUAUAAAACAUUCAUUUUAAUCCAGAUUAGUAUUCUACUCACAAGUAGAUACUCCCUCCGUUCCAUUUUAUAUGUCACAUUUUUACUUUACACUUGUACUAAGAAAUGAUGUAAUUUUACUUUAUACUUGUACUAAGAAAUGAUGUAAUUUUACCCUUCUACAUUUAUUUAAAUUUUAUGGAACUCAAGUUUCCGAUCAAUAAAUAUGAAUUAAUUUAUUUUGAUUAAUUAAUUUAACCAAUGAACAUGAAUCAUUUACUUAGCUUUUCUAAGUUGGUCAAAUUUAUAUUUUCAAGGCUAAUAACUCACAAGGGUAAAAAGGGAAGAAUAUGGUAAUUUAUGCAUUGAUUUUAUGAAAUGACAAGUAUUAUAGACCAACUAUUUAUAGAAAGGGAUGACAUAUAAAAUGGGACGAAGGGAGUAUAAUUUAUGGCGAUCGUAAGUAUUAAUUAUGGAAUAAAUUACCACACACUUUGUAACCAAACAAAAAAAUUGAGAUGUACUAAAAACUUAUCUCAGAAUUAUUUUUCCUUAUCUAUCACACCAAACGAUCCCUAAGUUUCCAAAAUAACCUAGAUUGUUUCCAUUUUUUUAAAUUGAUGUGUUUGUAAAAUUAUUAGCUUCCCUAAAAGCAUGUUUCAAUGGUGUCUCCAGCUUCAAAACGAGAAAUUAGUGAUAGAACAAAAUUUCAUAAUUGAACCACAAAAAUCUUAUGUUAAUUUUAUUUAGCAAUAAAUUAAAAAUUCAAUUAACUAGAAGUUUUUUUAGCAAUGGAUUAGCUAGAAUUACCAAGAAAUUCCGCAAUGUAUGUCCUCCCUUUUUAUCUCACAUAUGCCAAAUUCACAAAUGUCUUUUAAUAAGUAAUUGAGAAGUGGAUAGUCUAUUGUGAAUCACCAACCAUACAAAAAAAAUUGUGAUCUUAUUUGAAGUGUUAUAUAAAGGGAUGUAAUUACUAAAUCUUAUAUGUUUGGAAGAUUGUUUACAACUUUUCAUGUGUAAAGUAGUGGAGAUGCAAUUUGAAAUAAGUUAGAAAAUAUCUAAGGAAAGAAAAUGAUUCAUAUAUAGUCUCACAUGACCUAACUUCAAGCUAUCAUAUAUUUCCUUCUAUAUAUUGAGUUGAGCUUUAAGAUAUAUGUCAAAUUAUAUUCAUUAAAAGUCUAGUUUUUAGAAUAUCAAAUCAUUUUGUUAAUUCGAGUUUGAUAUAAAAAGUUAUAAUGAUGGUACGUUUUAACCAAGGAAUGUGCUAUCAAAUGCAAGAUAAUAUUAGGGUGUCGCAUAACUAUCAUGCCACAAAACAUCGGGGUUAAAAAUACAGGAGGCAAUGGUAAAACUUCGUACAAUCAUAGCGCCACAAAAUAACAAAUUUCAAAAUGGAUGGCACGAUAAUGUGUAGGAUCUCAACCCUAGAAACAUAGAAAACAAAUAUAUUUAUAGAUAAGUCUAAUAUACAAAUCACGAUAAUGAGUCGGAUACAUAUCACAUUGAAAAUAUCAAAAUUGGAACUCUAAGGUACUCGAAAAUUAUAAUAAAUUUCUAUUCAACAUUCUAACUAGUAUGCAUAUUAGGUUUUGGAAUCAAACUAUAUAUGCUAAAUAACUUGUUAACUAAUUGUGUGAUAUGAUUGACAUGAGAAACUUUUACUAUAUGUGAGUAAUAUCAUACUCCCUCCGUCCCUAUUUACUUGUCCAUAUUUCCUUUUUGGUUGUCCCUAUUUAGUUGUCCAUUUUGACAAAUCAAGAAAGGACAACAAAUUUUUUCAUAUUAUACCCUUAUUUACACUUCUUGAAAAUUGUAAAAGUGUAUGUUGUUUCCCUCCAAUUUAUUUCACUUGAAUUCAAAUAAGUGGUUGUAAUUUUGAAGUGAAAAGUUGUCAUAAGAGUAAAAUUGUAACUUCACAGUGCUAAUCAUUGUUGCCUUAAUCUGUGUGCCAUUUCUGAAGUGGACAACUAAAAAGGGACGAAGGGAGUAUUAAAUAUAUAGUUAUGAUAUUAAGCACUAGCUAGCUACUCAGCUAGCUAGAACGACACUCAAUGAUUAUUUCUUCAUAUGAUCAUAAUUAACUCAUGAUCAUGAUAUCUACAAAUUAUAAUCUCUAUUCAAUAAAUAAUUAAAUAGAAACCAUUUUAGAAAUAUAUUGGCCUAAUCUCACAAAUUAGGGUUGGACUUUAAAAUCAAUUAGUUACAAUCUAUAACAAAAUUAGACAUUUUAUAAUAGUAAUUUUUUCUUUUAGCGACAAUUGUUUAGCAGAACAAUUAUUUAGCAGCGGUGAAAAUAUAAUACAAAUAUUUAUAAUCAGUAUUCUAUACAUAUAAAUGUCAUUAAAGGUUUUAGCAAUUCUGAAUGCAAUAACACUAAUUCAAUUGUCGCUAAAUAUUUUUACGGCAAUAAAUAUUAUCCCUUUUAUUAUAAUGCAAUGUGUUUAAAUUAUUACAAGUAUUGGUUUGGUUACUUAAUUAGGGAAUCGCAAGCAGUCAAUGAAGGCUCAUUUAGUAGAUAAAGAGAGAAGCUGCAAGCACCUAUUUCUAUCAAAAUGUAAAGCAACAAACGGAACUUGAACUUGAAGAAGCAAGCCUCUAUAAGAGGAAGCUAAUGUAACUAAGCUUUAGUUCUAACUCUAACUAAGACAAUCGAUAUGGUACUAAAAAGGGAGAGGCACCAACAUCUAUCAGAUAACAUUAUUAUUAGCUGAAGAAACAGUGAAAAUAUGCAAAAAGCACUACAAACUUGGUAAAUGCAGUGAGCUUAUACAAGUAGGCAGCCUCGUUAAUAUUGUGGAAAAUUCAAAAGAUAAAAGUAAAUUCACACCUCACCGAAAAGCAUAUCCCGAUUCCUCUUAAGAAGUUCCAACGCCUACAAAAUUUACAACCAUAUAUACAUCAGAAACAGCACAAUCCGAAUUGGGUAAAAGCCAAAAGAAGAAGAAGACUAAACUCGUUUAAUUUGAGAAACGUAUUCAAGCGAUUCAGGAUCCGGGUCAUCGUCAUCUUGUUGGGUUGCAGUGGAAAUGGAACUUUCUUCCUCAUUAGUCAAUUGGGUGUCUUCUUUACUGACAAACAGAGGCCCCAGUGAAGUGCUUCUGCUACUAAAUCCAAGAAUUUGUACAUUGGAGGAAGAUAAAAGAGGUUUAUGAGUAAAGGGAAUUGAGUAAAUUUUGCAGUGUGAAGAAGAUAACAAGGGGAAUGAUGAUAAGGAGGAAGAGAGCAGUGGGAAUGGCAGCUGAAGCGCCAUUGAAGAGAGUGGAAUAUUUAGUUGAGAUAGAGCAUUUGCUUUGCUUUGCUUGCGGUUAAGACUUGGUAACAGAAUGGAUAACCUUCAAAUGAUUAUGCCUUGUGUUUUUAAAUAUAAAACAUAAGUCUUAUUAAUCGACAUUAGUAUUCUAGAUACGUAUAAUUAGUAUAACUAAAAGUGUUUUAACAAUAAAAAUUCAAUUAACUACAAGUGUUUUAGCAAUGGAUUAGCUUGAAUUACCAAGAAAUUCCUGUAUGUCCUCCCUUUUUUAUCUCACAAAUGUCUUUUACUCCCUCCAUUUCAUAUUAACUUAAGCUUUAAGUCUUUUUCCAUUUUUCAAAUUAACUUAAGUUUCCAAUCUUCAAGACUAUUUUUAAAAUAUUCUUCUAAUUUUACCCUUUAAGUUAGUAUUGGAAUUAGUUAUUAUAAUUAAUGUUUAGUUAUUUUUGACAAUAAUUAAUAAGGGUAAAAAUAGAAAAUUAUGUUCAAUUUUGUGUCCUAACCUACUUUUCUUAAAGGGUGUGAAACACCUCAAAACUUAAGUUAAUAUGGAAUGGAGGGAGUAAUAAGUAUUUGAGAAGUGGAUAGUCUAUUGUGAAUCACCAACCAUAAAAAAAAAUUGUGAUCUUAUUUGAAGUGUUAUAUAGAGGGAUGUAAUGACUAAAUCUUAUUACUUAACACUUAAGAAAGUUCUAAAUCAAUACACUCUCACAUUUAUUCGAAUUGCAGGUCAAUGCUCCUACUGAUGGGAGGAUCAACAAUAAAACAUAUAAUGAAGGAGGCUAACUCAGUAGCAGACAUAUUAGCGGAAUAUGGAAGGAAGACUAUGGAUCCAAAUACGCAUAUGAACAAGUUGUUUGUUUUUGAAGCAUCUCCUUCCUUUACUUUAAAAGUUGAUCUUAAAGGAGAUGAGAAUAGAACUAUAUCGUUUAGAUCGGUUCCUUUUUGUAUGGAUGAACCUAGCUACUAUUAAAUAAAUAAAAUCCUUCCAAUUCCAAAGAGAAAAAAAAGACUAAAUCUUAUGUUUGGAAGAUUGUGUUUAAAACUUUACAUGUGUAAAGCAGUGGAGAUGCAAUUUGAAAUAAGUUAGAAAAUAUUUAAGGAAAGAAAAUGAUUCAUAUAUAGUCUCACAUGACCUAACUUCAAGCUAUCAUAUAUUUCCUUCUAUAUAUUGAGUUGAGAUUUGAGAUAUAUGUCAAAUUAUAUUCGUUAAAAGUGUAGUUUUUAAAAUAUCAAAUCAUUUUGUUAAUUCAAGUUUGAUAUAAAAAGUUAUAAUAAUGGUACGUUUUAACCAAGGAAUGUGCUAUCAAAUGCAAGAUAAUAUUAGGGCGUUGCAUAACUAUCACGCCACAAAAUAUCGGAUUUAAAAAUACAGGAGGCAAUGGUAAAACUUCGUACAAUCAUAGCGCCACAAAAUAACAAAUUCCAAAAUGGAUGGCACGAUGAUGUGUAGGAUCCCAACCCUAGAAACACAGAAAACAAAUAUAUUUAUAGAUAUGUCUAAUAUACAAAUCACAAUAAUAAGUCGGAUACAUAUCACAUUGAAAAUAUCAAAAUUGGAACUCUAAGGUACUCGAAAAUUAUAAAAAAUUUCUAUUCAACAUUCUAACUAGUAUGCAUAUUAGGUUUUGGAAUCAAACUAUAUAUGCUAAAUAACUUGUUAACUAAUUGUGUGAUAUGAUUGACAUGAGAAACUUUUACUAUAUGUGAGUAAUAUCAUAUUAAAUAUAUAGUUAUGAUAUUAAGCACUGGCUAGCUACUCAGCUAGCUAGAACGACACUCAAUGAUUAUUUCUUCAUAUGAUCAUAAUUAACUCAUGAUCAUGAUAUCUACAAAUUAUAAUCUCUAUUCAAUAAAUAAUUAAAUAGAAACCAUUUUAGAAAUAUAUUGGCCUAAUCUCACAAAUUAGGGUUGGACUUUAAAAUCAAUUAGUUACAAUCUAUAACAAAAUUAGACAUUUUAUAAUAGUAAUUUUUUCUUUUAGCGACAAUUGUUUAGCAGAACAAUUAUUUAGCAGCGGUGAAAAUAUAAUACAAAUAUUUAUAAUCAGUAUUCUAUACAUAUAAAUGUCAUUAAAGGUUUUAGCAAUUCUGAAUGCAAUAACACUAAUUCAAUUGUCGCUAAAUAUUUUUACGGCAAUAAAUAUUAUCCCUUUUAUUAUAAUGCAAUGUGUUUAAAUUAUUACAAGUAUUGGUUUGGUUACUUAAUUAGGGAAUCGCAAGCAGUCAAUGAAGGCUCAUUUAGUAGAUAAAGAGAGAAGCUGCAAGCACCUAUUUCUAUCAAAAUGUAAAGCAACAAACGGAACUUGAACUUGAAGAAGCAAGCCUCUAUAAGAGGAAGCUAAUGUAACUAAGCUUUAGUUCUAACUCUAACUAAGACAAUCGAUAUGGUACUAAAAAGGGAGAGGCACCAACAUCUAUCAGAUAACAUUAUUAUUAGCUGAAGAAACAGUGAAAAUAUGCAAAAAGCACUACAAACUUGGUAAAUGCAGUGAGCUUAUACAAGUAGGCAGCCUCGUUAAUAUUGUGGAAAAUUCAAAAGAUAAAAGUAAAUUCACACCUCACCGAAAAGCAUAUCCCGAUUCCUCUUAAGAAGUUCCAACGCCUACAAAAUUUACAACCAUAUAUACAUCAGAAACAGCACAAUCCGAAUUGGGUAAAAGCCAAAAGAAGAAGAAGACUAAACUCGUUUAAUUUGAGAAACGUAUUCAAGCGAUUCAGGAUCCGGGUCAUCGUCAUCUUGUUGGGUUGCAGUGGAAAUGGAACUUUCUUCCUCAUUAGUCAAUUGGGUGUCUUCUUUACUGACAAACAGAGGCCCCAGUGAAGUGCUUCUGCUACUAAAUCCAAGAAUUUGUACAUUGGAGGAAGAUAAAAGAGGUUUAUGAGUAAAGGGAAUUGAGUAAAUUUUGCAGUGUGAAGAAGAUAACAAGGGGAAUGAUGAUAAGGAGGAAGAGAGCAGUGGGAAUGGCAGCUGAAGCGCCAUUGAAGAGAGUGGAAUAUUUAGUUGAGAUAGAGCAUUUGCUUUGCUU
rnacentral:lncRNA from 1 species